GUAGGUGGCAAGAGUUGUCCGGAAUUAUUGGGCGUAAAGCGCGCGCAGGCGGUUCUUUAAGUCUGAUGUGAAAGCCCACGGCUCAACCGUGGAGGGUCAUUGGAAACUGGAGAACUUGAGUACAGAAGAGGAAAGCGGAAUUCCACGUGUAGCGGUGAAAUGCGUAGAGAUGUGGAGGAACACCAGUGGCGAAGGCGGCUUUCUGGUCUGUAACUGACGCUGAGGCGCGAAAGCGUGGGGAGCAAACAGGAUUAGAUACCCUGGUAGUCCACGCCGUAAACGAUGAGUGCUAAGUGUUAGGGGGUUUCCGCCCCCCUUAGUGCUGCAGCUAACGCAUUAAGCACUCCGCCUGGGAGUACGGCCGCAAGGCUG
rnacentral:rRNA from 1 species